CCACCAUUCCCCUCUGCACAGAUGGUUUGUUGCUGCAAAUAGCUGUCCCCUGUUACCUGUGGGCCCUUUCUACCUAUAGCUGUGUGCUUAGCCUACAGAAGAGGCCAGCUGGAAGCACCAGGCAGUGAAAGCCGCAGGAGAGCCCUCAGACAACUCUGGAUGGGCGCUGUGGCAGGGAAAUGGAACCAGCUUUCUGCACAGUCUGCCCCAGCCAGAUCCGAGCCAUGGCUGGGGUCUUUCCAAGCGCAAUCAAAGUAAUAGAGUUCUUCACCAAAGAUCAAACAAGAUGACCUCUCCCUUGUAAGAAAUCAGUCGCCGA
rnacentral:lncRNA from 1 species